GUUUGGUCAUCACCCACAAACCGUCCACCUGGUUUUGUGCUGUAAUUUGUUAGUGGGUGUUUUUCUUGCUGCAAAAAAGAUGGAAUUUUUAAGUUCUUUUAAUGGGUUGAAUGAGGUUUAUGGGGGGUUUCAGGGUAUAAUAGGAAAUGGGUUGUCAUCAUCUUCUUCAUUAGUUUUGGAUAAUGAGAGUGGUGAGCUUGUGAAGGCAAUGGUGAAGCCAGGGGGAAAAGGGGUUAAUCCAGAAAAAGCUUUGAUUGCUUUGAAGAAUCAUAGUGAAGCUGAAAGGAGGAGGAGGGAGAGGAUUAAUGGUCAUUUGGGUACUCUUAGGAACCUUAUACCUGGCACUAAUAAGAUGGACAAGGCUGCUUUACUUGCCAAAGUCAUCGGCCACAUAAAAGAAUUGAGAGUUAAU
rnacentral:misc_RNA from 1 species